UCAGAGCCUUGAAACUGAAGAACAAGAAGAUAUUUUCUGUCUAGUGAAAGAACACGAACAUGUUGCUCUCCAGAUUUCUGGAGGUGGUCAUAGCUUCAGUGUGGCUAGGAUCCAGUAUUGCCCAGAAGGUAACUCAAGGCCAACGGGCAAUGUUAGUGCAGGAGAAGGAGGCCGUGACCCUGGACUGCAGAUAUGACACCAGUGUUACAAGUUAUACCUUAUUCUGGUACAAACAACCCAGCAGUGGGGGGAUGAUUUUCCUUAUUCGUCAGGACUCUUACAGCAAGCAAAAUGCCACAGAAGGUCGCUACUCGUUGAAUUUUCAGAAAGCAAAGAACUCCAUCAACCUUGUCAUCUCAGCUGCACAGCUGGAGGACUCCGCAUUGUAUUUCUGUGCCUUGAGUGAGCCCACAGUGAGAAGUGUGUGGGAGGAAGGUAUACCAAAACCCCAGGGCUCUGCCUGAUGCAUUACCUGCUGUAGGGACCAAGGCUGAGAAUUGCCAUCACCGACAGGAAGUAGUGAGGGCUGUGGCAGCACAGGUGUCAGUAGAGUCUGAGAGAAUACACUCUAAGAAAAUACUUAUC